rnacentral:rRNA from 1 species
GUYUUUUUGUUAAAAAUUUAAAGUCAGGCCUGCCCACUGAAACUUUAAAUGGCCGUGGUAUUUUGACCGUGCUAAGGUAGCAUAAUCAUUAGUUUUUUAAUUGAAAGCUGGAAUGAAAGGUUUGAUAAAAAAAUGACUGUCUCUAUUUAAUUUUAUUAGAAAUUUAUUUUUAAGUUCAAAAGCUUAAUUUUUAUUAAAAGACGAGAAGACCCUAUAGAGUUUAAUAAUUUAAGGUAAUUUAUAUUUUAGAAUUAAUUUAUUUAUUUUUUAGUAUUAUUUAAUUGGGGUGAUUGAAAAAUUUAAUUAACUUUUUUUAUAUUUAACCAUUAAUUUAUGAUAAUUUGAUCCAAUUUUUUUUGAUUAUAAGAUAAAAUUACCUUAGGGAUAACAGCGUAAUUUUUUUAGAAAGUUCAAAUUAAAAGAAAAGAUUGCGACCUCGAUGUUGGAUUAAAAUUAAAUUUUGGUGUAGAAGCUAAAAAUUUUAAGUCUGUUCGACUUUUAAAAUUUUACA